AUUGAACGCUGGCGGCAGGCUUAACACAUGCAAGUCGAGCGGGGGAAGGUAGCUUGCUACCGGACCUAGCGGCGGACGGGUGAGUAAUGCUUAGGAAUCUGCCUAUUAGUGGGGGACAACAUCUCGAAAGGGAUGCUAAUACCGCAUACGUCCUACGGGAGAAAGCAGGGGAUCUUCGGACCUUGCGCUAAUAGAUGAGCCUAAGUCGGAUUAGCUAGUUGGUGGGGUAAAGGCCUACCAAGGCGACGAUCUGUAGCGGGUCUGAGAGGAUGAUCCGCCACACUGGGACUGAGACACGGCCCAGACUCCUACGGGAGGCAGCAGUGGGGAAUAUUGGACAAUGGGGGGAACCCUGAUCCAGCCAUGCCGCGUGUGUGAAGAAGGCCUUAUGGUUGUAAAGCACUUUAAGCGAGGAGGAGGCUACUUUAGUUAAUACCUAGAGAUAGUGGACGUUACUCGCAGAAUAAGCACCGGCUAACUCUGUGCCAGCAGCCGCGGUAAUACAGAGGGUGCGAGCGUUAAUCGGAUUUACUGGGCGUAAAGCGUGCGUAGGCGGCUUAUUAAGUCGGAUGUGAAAUCCCCGAGCUUAACUUGGGAAUUGCAUUCGAUACUGGUGAGCUAGAGUAUGGGAGAGGAUGGUAGAAUUCCAGGUGUAGCGGUGAAAUGCGUAGAGAUCUGGAGGAAUACCGAUGGCGAAAGCAGCCAUCUGGCCUAAUACUGACGCUGAGGUACGAAAGCAUGGGGA
rnacentral:rRNA from 1 species